AGUCCGAAAAACAGACUGAGAUUCUAAACAAUGUUGGAGAAUUAGAGCUGGAACAAGGGUGAUACCUCUGAUCAACACACGGUGUUUUUAAAGUUAAAACAGCCAAGGGUGAUCUUGCAAGAAGUUGGAUGCCAGAUAAGCCUGAAUGGAGAAAAAAUAAUGUUUAGAUUCUUUCCUCAACUGUGCCAUUGGAUCAAGCAUUUCAAAGCUCUCUUGGAAGAAAAACCUUGAACUUGCUAGUCAAAAUGCUAGGAGAUGACCUUGAGGAAGGGGAGCUGAGGACAGAGCUGGAAACGCUGAGGGACAACCGCUGCAGCCACCCAACUGCUGAUGAGAGAAGUCUACCAGGAUCUGAGCAGCCCCUAUCAAACCCACACCUAUAAGAAGUACCUGGAUGCCUUUCAGCUGCUGGAGGAAUUCUUGGCUACUCAGAGGACCGCAUCUCCCAGCUGCAGGACAUAUCUAGAGUCU